CGGAGGAUCCAAGCGUUAUCCGGAUUUAUUGGGUUUAAAGGGUGCGUAGGCGGCUUUUUAAGUCAGGGGUGAAAGACGGUAGCUCAACUAUCGCAGUGCCCUUGAUACUGAAGAGCUUGAAUGUACUUGAGGUAGGCGGAAUGUGACAAGUAGCGGUGAAAUGCAUAGAUAUGUCACAGAACACCAAUUGCGAAGGCAGCUUACUAAAGUAUGAUUGACGCUGAGGCACGAAAGCGUGGGGAUCAAACAGGAUUAGAUACCCAGGUAGUCCACGCCCUAAACGAUGAACACUCGAUGUUGGCGAUAUACGGUCAGCGUCUAAGCGAAAGCGUUAAGUGUUCCACCUGGGGAGUACGCCCGCAAGGGUG
rnacentral:rRNA from 1 species